CUCAGCUGAUGAAGAUGCCAAGUUGUAAAGGACUACUGGGUACUGAGGAUAUUACUGAAUGGAAAUCUGCACUGUUUUGACCCAGCUACUGGAAGCUGGAGCAUGCAGGAAGAAAUAACUUCGGACAAAGCCAAGCUGUCUGUUUCCUGCCGGACUUUGGGAGUGCGUCAAACUACAUAUAUUUUUGGCACAGAAGUCA